rnacentral:rRNA from 1 species
CGACCGCUGGCGGCGUGCUUACCACAUGCAAGUCGACCGGCAAGGCCCUGCUUUUGUGGGGUGCUCGAGUGGCGAACGGGUGAGUAACACGUGAGUAACCUGCCCUUUACUUUGGGAUAACUUCAGGAAACUGGGGCUAAUACCGGAUAGGAGCUCCUGCUGCAUGGUGGGGGUUGGAAAGUUUCGGCGGUUGGGGAUGGACUCGCGGCUUAUCAGCUUGUUGGUGGGGUAGUGGCUUACCAAGGCUUUGACGGGUAGCCGGCCUGAGAGGGUGACCGGCCACAUUGGGACUGAGAUACGGCCCAGACUCCUACGGGAGGCAGCAGUGGGGAAUAUUGCACAAUGGGCGGAAGCCUGAUGCAGCAACGCCGCGUGCGGGAUGACGGCCUUCGGGUUGUAAACCGCUUUCGCCUGUGACGAAGCGUGAGUGACGGUAAUGGGUAAAGAAGCACCGGCUAACUACGUG